GGAGGGCCAUAGCUCAGUGGAACAGCAUCUGCUAUGCAUGCAGAAGGUCCCAGAUUCAAUUCCCAGCAUCUCCA